GUCACUUUAGUUUAGUGGUAGAGCGUCUGCUUCGUAAGCUGAAGGCCGUCAGUUCAAUCCAGGCAAGUGGAU
rfam:Perkinsus marinus ATCC 50983 gcontig_1104296088657, whole genome shotgun sequence.